UAAAGCGAACGCAGGCGGUCAAUUAAGUCAGAUGUGAAAGCCCCGAGCUUAACUUGGGAAUUGCAUCUGAAACUGGUUGGCUAGAGUCUUGUAGAGGGGGGUAGAAUUCCAUGUGUAGCGGUGAAAUGCGUAGAGAUGUGGAGGAAUACCGGUGGCGAAGGCGGCCCCCUGGACAAAGACUGACGCUCAGGUGCGAAAGCGUGGGGAGCAAACAGGAUUAGAUACCCUGGUAGUCCACGCUGUAAACGAUGUCGAUUUAGAGGUUGUGGUCUUGAACCGUGGCUUCUGGAGCUAACGCGUUAAAUCGACCGCCUGGGGAGUAC
rnacentral:rRNA from 1 species